CAGUCGCCGCGGUAAUACGAAGGGUGCAAGCGUUAAUCGGAAUUACUUGGCGUAAAGCGUGCGUAGGCGGUGAGUUAAGUCUGCUGUGAAAUCCCCGGGCUCAACCUGGGAAUGGCAGUGGAUACUGGCUCGCUAGAGUGUGUCAGAGGAUGGUGGAAUUCCCGGUGUAGCGGUGAAAUGCGUAGAGAUCGGGAGGAACAUCAGUGGCGAAGGCGGCCAUCUGGGACAACACUGACGCUGAGGCACGAAAGCGUGGGGAGCAAACAGGAUUAGAUACCCCCGUAGUCCCUGUCUCUUAUAC
rnacentral:rRNA from 1 species